rnacentral:rRNA from 1 species
AUUGAACGCUGGCGGCGGGCCUAACACAUGCAAGUCGAGCGGAUGAAGGGAGCUUUCUCCUGGAUUCAGCGGCGGACGGGUGAGUAAUGCCUAGGAAUCUGCCUGGUAGUGGGGGAUAACGUCCGGUAACGGGCGCUAAUACCGCAUACGUCCUGAGGGAGAAAGGGGGGGAUCUUCGGACCUCACGCUAUCAGAUGAGCCUAGGUCGGAGUAGCUAGUUGGUGGGGUAAAGGCCUACCAAGGCGACGAUCCGUAACUGGUCUGAGAGGAUGAUCAGUCACACUGGAACUGAGACAAGGUCCAGACUCCUACGGGAGGCAGCAGUGGGGAAUAUUGGACAAUGGGCGAAAGCCUGAUCCAGCCAUGCCGCGUGUGUGAAGAAGGUCUUCGGAUUGUAAAGCACUUUAAGUUGGGAGGAAGGGCAGUAAGUUAAUACCUUGCUGUUUUGACGUUACCAACAGAAUAAGCACCGGCUAACUUCGUG